CACUUGUGGAGUCAACUUGCUUUUCAAUUAUAAGGAUCAGCAGAAAAGGGAGAGGCUAAAUAAAGCAGUGAAAAAACAUCAGAAGGAAAUUCUGCACUAUCGUUCAACAGCUCAAAUGAACUACAGCUCUGUUUCCCUGGCAACAAGCAGAUUCAGGAACAAGAACCUGAUCAAGAGACCUUUUCAAGAUCCUCAAAAGAAAACAUUUAGUGGAGACCUCCUUGAUAAACAUUCCAAAUGGUUUACAGAAGAAAGACAGGCUUUCACUCCAAGAAUAUUGAAGAAUAGAGCAACAUCAUUCCUUUUGAAGUACAAGUAUUAUACAGCACCAAAAAAGAUGCAAGACAAUUCAAAUGUAACUCCAACAUGCAACAGGA